rnacentral:lncRNA from 1 species
CAGUGCCUAUGAGAUUUUUUUGUUUUUGUUUUGCUUGGUUUGGUUUUGGAAACACGUAGACAUGAGGCAACCUAGAAGUCAGUAUUAGCCUGGUACUUAGCACAGCCAGCAACCCAGAUGGACAGAACAUGUUUUGCAAUAGAGAAUGUGUUUGCUAAGACUGUGAGGAGUGAAGGCAGGAAGCAAGCCAGGGUGCCUGGAGUAAGUAGGCAUGGCCUACUCAACUCAUCCAAAGAUCUACGUCUGAUGGAUGACCACGGGGGUAUUUAAACUGUUUCUUUGACUUUUCCAAUGGAGGAUGUUGGAUAGUGCAGUCAGGGGAAAAUAAAAUAUAUGGAAUAUAGGGGAAUGUCCCCAUUACUAUGGGGACCUGACAGUGAGGAAGAACAAGAGAGCACCACCAUGACACUGAAUUUGUGUAAGGCAAGGCCAGUGCAGACCCAGGAGGUGACUCUUAACUCCAGAUUGCAAGGCUGGAACUCAGGGAGCAGAGCUUGCAGCCUGACUGAGGCCAAGGGCCAGAGGGAAGAAAUCCCUUAACCAAGAGGAGCCAGGUACUCUCUCUGAGUCUCUGUAUUCAUUACUUUCUGACACUGAGAUAAAAUACCAUGGACAAAAGCCACUUAAGGAAGAGACAGUUUAUGUGGCUGACAGUUCCAGAGAGCUAGAGUCCGUGAUAACAGAGACGACCUGGCA